GGACUGUGAGGAUGUAUUAUUGGUCUCGUUCGUCGUAAUGGCUCUUGGGCCUUGCCGACUAGAGUGAUAUAUCACCACCCAUAGUCUGAGUCC
rfam:Prunus persica cultivar Lovell chromosome G7, whole genome shotgun sequence.